rnacentral:rRNA from 1 species
ACGGGAGGCAGCAGUGGGGAAUAUUGCACAAUGGGGGAAACCCUGAUGCAGCGACGCCGCGUGAGCGAUGAAGUAUUUCGGUAUGUAAAGCUCUAUCAGCAGGGAAGAUAAUGACGGUACCUGACUAAGAAGCCCCGGCUAACUACGUGCCAGCAGCCGCGGUAAUACGGAGGGGGCAAGCGUUAUCCGGAUUUACUGGGGGUAAAGGGAGCGCAGGCGGUUUUGUAAGUCUGAUGUGAAAGCCCGUGGCUCAACUGCGGGACUGCAUUGGAAACUGGAGAACUAGAGUGUCGGAGGGGCAAGUGGAAUUCCUAGUGUAGCGGUGAAAUGCGUAGAUAUUAGGAGGAACACCAGUGGCGAAGGCGGCUUGCUGGACGAUAACUGACGCUGAGGCUCGAAAGCGUGGGGAGCAAACAGGAUUAGAUACCCUGGUA